UACGUAGGGCGCAAGCGUUUGUCCGGAAUUAUUGGGCGUAAAGAGCUCGUAGGCGGCUUGUCGCGUCGGAUGUGAAAGCCCGGGGCUUAACCCCGGGUCUGCAUUCGAUACGGGCAGGCUAGAGUUCGGUAGGGGAGAUCGGAAGUUCCUGGUGUAGCGGUGAAAUGCGCAGAUAUCAGGAGGAACACCGGUGGCGAAGGCGGCUCUCUGGACCGAGACUGACGCUGAGGCGCGAAAGCGUGGGGAGCAAACAGG
rnacentral:rRNA from 1 species